GUGAGGAAAUUAGUCCUCUGGGAGGUGACCAGUCCUCUGUGAGUUGUCCCAUUUUCAGUGAGGUGUCCAGGGCUCUGUCAGAUUAUCAGGCCUCUGUGAGGUGACCCAGUCCUCUUUGAGAUGUCCCGUUCUCUGUGAGAUGACAAGGCCUCUGUGAUGUGACCAGCCCUCUGUGUGGAGGCAUAUCUUCUUUCCCAGCUGCCAUUCUGUUCCAUGGACGAUGCUGGCAAGUCCCAAACCCUCUCCAGCUAUUACGAUGAACACCUUGCAGAAGAAAGAAGUCUGCCGCAGAGAAAGACGACUGGAUGGGGCAGCUGGGAAGGGUUCUUACUACCAAGCCUGAAGGCCCAAGUUUGAUCCCUAAAGCUCACAUAGCAAAAGGAGUGGAACGGCUCCUGAAAGCUACCCUCUGACCUCCACCUUAUGUCUCCUUCACAAAGAAACAAAUCAAGAUAAAUAAAUAAAUGUAUGCAGUUUU
rnacentral:lncRNA from 1 species